UUUCAAAAGUUUAUUAUUUUAUCUUAUUGUUAAACUUUCUUGUUUACCUAUCUAACAAUUAUGAAAAUCAUUUAUUUGUUAAGAAAUGAUACGUUAGCACAGAAUAUCAAAUAUACAUCAUGCCAGAUAAUAGAGAAAAUCAAAUAAAUCAUGAAUGCACUGAUUUUUCGUGUCAUGCUUUGCAAAGUCGUUACAAACUUCCAUCUCUGAGGGCAGAUACAGAUUUUCAACUACCCAAGUAGAAUGACUAGAUCAAAUACAGAUACAACAAUUUGCUCAGUCCCACUUCUGGUUGGCUAAAUCAUGGUACGAUCUAUGACCACGGCCGUACCAACCAAGUAGUCCUAACAGAUAUCUAUAGUCACGAUAUCACUUAGUCACGGGUGACCCCUACAGAUAGUGCGAUACCACUCUCGUCAGAGGGCACACUAUCAUUCACUAGGAGCAGUCCUCUUAUGUCUUUCUAAACCAGAUAGGGGAGGGGGAAAUAGAUACCUCGAAGGGCAAUUGGAAUAGAUACCCUUCAGAUAUAA
rnacentral:lncRNA from 1 species